rnacentral:misc_RNA from 1 species
UGAGCAGUAGGCUUCACUUAGUGCAGGAUCUCUUUAGCAAAACAGUUUGUAAACAUGGAUUUAAAUGGUCCUAAAACUACACUAGAACAUAUAAAUGCUCAGAAUGAUCAGAGUGAAACCGGCCAAGAAGUCUCACCUCGUGUAUUGAAGGAAACUGGCGAUGUCAAGGUUCAUAUUGAAUCAAAGCCCUCGCCUUCCACAACAAUGGCGGAUGAAUCACUUGAUUUCAGUGAAGAAGACAUAAGAAGGCAAUUGGAAGCCUUAGGAUAUUACAACGUACCUCCAUAUCGACUAAGGGAAUUUGCUUCAGAUCUUAAAAAGUUAGUAGAACAUGAAAAAUCAAGUUCAAGAAGUUCAUUUCGAAGUGAUUCAUUUGUAUCAUCAACUGAUGGUGAAGGGUAUCAUAUGCUUCACAGACACAGGAUUCCAUUAAAUGAAAGUAGAAGUAGACAACCAAAUGUCAAUAACCAGUCCAUAGUUGAACACUCCGUAUUUGGAAAAGAAAAUUCUCAUGGGUUGAGUAAAUCUGAUUUCCCAGAGGGAACAAGCCUUGUUGGUGACCACGAAGAUUUAAUCAUUCCUGAUCUAAACCUAUUAUUAGAAGUCCUGAUAGGAAAGUUAUGAGAAAAAGGAAAGUUGUGAGGAAAGUAGGAGGUCAUUCACAAGUGUUUGAUGAAUCAAUAACUGAAAGUGAACAAGACGAUGUAAGCAUACUGAGAGACAGAUUUGACCAUCUUCCGAUCAGAGAGGAUGAUGCAUCAUCUGUGACUGAGAGUGAAACAUCAGCAGAUGUUAUCCAACAAAUUUACAGUAGGAGACCGUUUUCAGCGAGACCAGACUUGUUUCCAGACAGCAGCAGGGUUUCAAGGGAAGAAGAUAGUAUAUAUGCUCCUAAUUUACCAAGAUCAUUUAUACGUCCUGGUACAGCUCACCCACAUACAAAGAAUCUCCGGAAAACUGAUCCAGUUACCAGAUAUCAUUUAUAUCAACAAAGUUGGAAUUCAUACAAAGUUCCUGGUGAGAAGAAUAGAAAAGAGCUGCGAUGGGCAGUGCGGGAGCAAAUGCUUCAUAAAGAUGAGGUGUAUCGACCCAAACGUGACCAAAAGGUGUUUG